GACGAACGCUGGCGGCGUGCUUAACACAUGCAAGUCGAACGGAAAGGCCCUGCUUGCAGGGUGCUCGAGUGGCGAACGGGUGAGUAACACGUGGGUGAUCUGUCCUGCACUUCGGGAUAAGCCUGGGAAACUGGGUCUAAUACCGGAUAGGAGCCAUUUUUAGUGUGGUGGUUGGAAAGUUUUUUCGGUGUGGGAUGAGCUCGCGGCCUAUCAGCUUGUUGGUGGGGUAAUGGCCUACCAAGGCGGCGACGGGUAGCCGGCCCGAGAGGGUGGACGGCCACAUUGGGACUGAGAUACGGCCCAGACUCCUACGGGAGGCAGCAGUGGGGAAUAUUGCACAAUGGGCGCAAGCCUGAUGCAGCGACGCCGCGUGGGGGAUGACGGCCUUCGGGUUGGAAACUCCUUUCGCUAGGGACGAAGCUUUUUGUGACGGUACCUAGAGAAGAAGCACCGGCUAACUACGUG
rnacentral:rRNA from 1 species